rnacentral:rRNA from 1 species
AUUGAACGCUGGCGGCAGGCCUAACACAUGCAAGUCGAGCGGAUGAGAGGGGCUUGCUCCUCGAUUCAGCGGCGGACGGGUGAGUAAUGCCUAGGAAUCUGCCUAGUAGUGGGGGACAACGUUUCGAAAGGAACGCUAAUACCGCAUACGUCCUACGGGAGAAAGUGGGGGAUCUUCGGACCUCACGCUAUUAGGUGAGCCUAGGUCGGAUUAGCUAGUUGGUAGGGUAAAGGCCUACCAAGGCGACGAUCCGUAACUGGUCUGAGAGGAUGAUCAGUAACACGGGAACUGAGACACGGUCCAGGCUCCUACGGGAGGCAGCAGUGGGGAAUAUUGGACAAUGGGCGAAAGCCUGAUCCAGCCAUGCCGCGUGUGUGAAGAAGGCCUUCGGGUCGUAAAGCACUUUAAGUUGGGAGGAAGGGCUCAUAGCGAAUACCUGUGAGUUUUGACGUUACCAACAGAAUAAGCACCGGCUAACUUCGUGCCAGCCGCCGCCGUAA